rnacentral:tRNA from 1 species
GCACUGGUGGUCCAGCGGCGACGACUCCGCUCUCGUAAAGCGGCAACGUGGGUUCGACUCCCACCCGGUGCC